rnacentral:rRNA from 1 species
AACCGAGAUUCCCCCAGUAGCGGCGAGCGAACGGGGAACAGCCCAGAGUCUGAAUCAGCAUGUGUGUUAGUGGAACGGUCUGGAAAGUCCGACGGUACAGGGUGAUAGUCCCGUACACAAAAAUGCACAUGUUGUGAACUCGAAGAGUAGGGCGGGACACGUGGUAUCCUGUCUGAAUAUGGGGGGACCAUCCUCCAAGGCUAAAUACUCCUGACUGACCGAUAGUGAACCAGUACCGUGAGGGAAAGGCGAAAA